AUUUAUAUAAUAUAAUAAAGUAUAUUUGAUUUCCAAUCAAAAAGUCUAAAAAUUAGUAUAAAUA
rnacentral:tRNA from 1 species